rnacentral:rRNA from 1 species
GACGAACGCUGGCGGCGUGCCUAAUACAUGCAAGUAGAACGCUGAAGGAGGAGCUUGCUUCUCUGGAUGAGUUGCGAACGGGUGAGUAACGCGUAGGUAACCUGCCUGGUAGCGGGGGAUAACUAUUGGAAACGAUAGCUAAUACCGCAUAAUAGUAGAUGUUGCAUGACAUUUGCUUAAAAGGUGCAAUUGCAUCACUACCAGAUGGACCUGCGUUGUAUUAGCUAGUUGGUGGGGUAACGGCUCACCAAGGCGACGAUACAUAGCCGACCUGAGAGGGUGAUCGGCCACACUGGGACUGAGACACGGCCCAGACUCCUACGGGAGGCAGCAGUAGGGAAUCUUCGGCAAUGGACGGAAGUCUGACCGAGCAACGCCGCGUGAGUGAAGAAGGUUUUCGGAUCGUAAAGCUCUGUUGUAAGAGAAGAACGAGUGUGAGAGUGGAAAGUUCACACUGUGACGGUAGCUGACCAGAAAGGGACGGCUAACUACGUG